rnacentral:tRNA from 1 species
CGGUUGCCGGGCGGCGGUCUGCCUGGGGCCGGUGGCCCCGGGGCCGUCGCCGGUACGGGUCCGGCGCGGCGGA